GCAAGUAUGCUGAAAUGGUAGCCAGGCAGUUCUUAGGAAACUGUGGUGUCCAACCGUGUGGGUUCAAGUCCCACUACUUGUA